AACGAACGCUGGCGGCAGGCCUAACACAUGCAAGUCGAGCGAGGACUUCGGUUCUAGCGGCGGACGGGUGAGUAACGCGUGGGAAUGUGCCCUUCUCUACGGAAUAGCCCUGGGAAACUGGGAGUAAUACCGUAUACGCCCUUUUGGGGAAAGAUUUAUCGGAGAAGGAUCAGCCCGCGUUGGAUUAGGUAGUUGGUGGGGUAAUGGCCUACCAAGCCGACGAUCCAUAGCUGGUUUGAGAGGAUGAUCAGCCACACUGGGACUGAGACACGGCCCAGACUUCCUCGGGAGGCAGGCGGGGGGAAUCCUAGGCAAUGGGGGCAACCCUGAUCUAGCCAUGCCGCGUGAGUGAUGAAGGCCUUAGGGUUGUAAAGCUCUUUCAGCUGGGAAGAUAAUGACGGUACCAGCAGAAGAAGCCCCGGCUAACUCCGUG
rnacentral:rRNA from 1 species